AUAAUGAAUGAAAGGGACAAGGAGAUAUAAUGAAUGAAGAGAGAUGAUGAAGGAGAGAAGUAGAGAUAGGGUUGGGAGAUAAUGAAUGAAUGGGAUGAGGAGAUAUAAUGAAUGAAGAGACAUGCUGAAGGAGAGAAGUAGAGAUAGGGUAGAGAGAUAAUGAAUGAAAUGGAUGAGGAGAGAUAAUGAAUAAAGAGACAUGAUGAAAGAGAGAAGUAGAGAUAGGUUUGAGAGAUAAUGAAUGAAAUGGAUGAGGAGAGAUAAUGAAUGAAGAGACAUGAUGAAGGAGAGAAGUAGAGAUAGGGUUGAGAGAUAAUGAAUGAAAUGGAUGAGGAGAGAUAAUGAAUAAAGAGACAUGAUGAAAGAGAGAAGUAGAGAUAGUUUUGAGAGAUAAUGAAUUAAAUGGAUGAGGAGAGAUAAUGAAUGAAGAGACAUGAUGAAGGAGAGAAGUAGAGAUAGGUUUGAGAGAUAAUAAAUGAAAGGGAUGAGGAGAGAUAAUGAAUGAAGAGAGCUGAUGAAGGAGAGAAGUAGAGGUAGAGUUGAGAGAUAAUGAAUGAAAGGGACAAGGAGAUAUAAUGAAUGAAGAGAGAUGAUGAAGGAGAGAAGUAGAGAUAGGGUUGGGAGAUAAUGAAUGAAUGGGAUGAGGAGAUAUAAUGAAUGAAGAGACAUGAUGAAGGAGAGAAGUAGAGAUAGGGUUGGGAGAUAAUGAAUGAAAUGGAUGAGGAGAGAUAAUGAAUGAAGAGACAUGAUGAAGGAGGGAAGUAGAGAUAGGUUUGAGAGAUAAUGAAUGAAAUGGAUGAGGAGAGAUAAUGAAUGAAGAGACAUGAUGAAGGAGAGAAGUAGAGAUAGGGUUGAGAGAUAAUGAAUGAAGAGAAGUAGAGAUAUGGUUGAGAGAUAAUAAAUGAAAGGGAUGAGGAGAGAUAAUGAAUGAAGAGAGCUGAUGAAGGAGAGAAGUAGAGAUAGGGUUGAGAGAUAAUAAAUUAAAGGGAUGAGGAGAGAUAAUGAAUGAAGAGAUAUGAUGAAGGAGAGAAGUAGAGAUAGGGUUGGGAUAUAAUGAAUGAAUGGGAUGAGGAGAUAUAAUGAAUGAAGAGACAUGAUGAAGGAGAGAAGUAGAGAUAGGGUUGGGAGAUAAUGAAUGAAUGGGAUGAGGAGAUAUAAUGAAUGAAGAGACAUGCUGAAGGAGAGAAGUAGAGAUAGGGUUGAGAGAUAAUGAAUGAAAUGGAUGAGGAGAGAUAAUGAAUAAAGAGACAUGAUGAAAGAGAGAAGUAGAGAUAGUUUUGAGAGAUAAUGAAUUAAAUGGAUGAGGAGAGAUAAUGAAUGAAGAGACAUGAUGAAGGAGAGAAGUAGAGAUAGGUUUGAGAGAUAAUAAAUGAAAGGGAUGAGGAGAGAUAAUGAAUGAAGAGAGCUGAUGAAGGAGAGAAGUAGAGGUAGAGUUGAGAGAUAAUGAAUGAAAGGGACAAGGAGAUAUAAUGAAUGAAGAGAGAUGAUGAAGGAGAGAAGUAGAGAUAGGGUUGGGAGAUAAUGAAUGAAUGGGAUGAGGAGAUAUAAUGAAUGAAGAGACAUGCUGAAGGAGAGAAGUAGAGAUAGGGUUGAGAGAUAAUGAAUGAAAUGGAUGAGGAGAGAUAAUGAAUAAAGAGACAUGAUGAAAGAGAGAAGUAGAGAUAGUUUUGAGAGAUAAUGAAUUAAAUGGAUGAGGAGAGAUAAUGAAUGAAGAGACAUGAUGAAGGAGAGAAGUAGAGAUAGGUUUGAGAGAUAAUAAAUGAAAGGGAUGAGGAGAGAUAAUGAAUGAAGAGAGCUGAUGAAGGAGAGAAGUAGAGGUAGAGUUGAGAGAUAAUGAAUGAAAGGGACAAGGAGAUAUAAUGAAUGAAGAGAGAUGAUGAAGGAGAGAAGUAGAGAUAGGGUUGGGAGAUAAUGAAUGAAUGGGAUGAGGAGAUAUAAUGAAUGAAGAGACAUGCUGAAGGAGAGAAGUAGAGAUAGGGUUGAGAGAUAAUGAAUGAAAUGGAUGAGGAGAGAUAAUGAAUAAAGAGACAUGAUGAAAGAGAGAAGUAGAGAUAGGUUUGAGAGAUAAUGAAUGAAAUGGAUGAGGAGAGAUAAUGAAUGAAGAGACAUGAUGAAGGAGAGAAGUAAAGAUAGUUUUGAGAGAUAAUGAAUUAAAUGGAUGAGGAGAGAUAAUGAAUGAAGAGACAUGAUGAAGGAGAGAAGUAAAGAUAGGUUUGAGAGAUAAUAAAUGAAAGGGAUGAGGAGAGAUAAUGAAUGAAGAGAGCUGAUGAAGGAGAGAAGUAGAGGUAGAGUUGAGAGAUAAUGAAUGAAAGGGACAAGGAGAUAUAAUGAAUGAAGAGAGAUGAUGAAGGAGAGAAGUAGAGAUAGGGUUGGGAGAUAAUGAAUGAAUGGGAUGAGGAGAUAUAAUGAAUGAAGAGACAUGAUGAAGGAGAGAAGUAGAGAUAGGGUUGGGAGAUAAUGAAUGAAUGGGAUGAGGAGAUAUAAUGAAUGAAG